rnacentral:rRNA from 1 species
CCUACGGGGGGCAGCAGUCGAGAAUCAUUCACAAUGGGGGAAACCCUGAUGGUGCGACGCCGCGUGGGGGAAUGAAGGUCUUCGGAUUGUAAACCCCUGUCAUGUGGGAGCAAAUUAAAAAGAUAGUACCACAAGAGGAAGAGACGGCUAACUCUGUGCCAGCAGCCGCGGUAAUACAGAGGUCUCAAGCGUUGUUCGGAAUCACUGGGCGUAAAGCGUGUGUAGGCUGUUUCGUAAGUCGGGUGUGAAAGGCGCGGGCUCAACCCGCGGACGGCACAUGAUACUGCGAGACUAGAGUAAGGGAGGGGGGACCGGAAUUCUCGGUGUAGCAGUGAAAUGCGUAGAUAUCGAGAGGAACACUCGUGGCGAAGGCGGGUUCCUGGACAUUAACUGACGCUGAGGCACGAAGGCCAGGGGAGCGAAAGGGAUUAGAUACCCGAGUAGUC